AUGACCCUCUCAUUAGCUCGUCACUUGACAAAUUAUCAGGCUUGUAACGGCAGCUGCCUUCAUUCCUCCUGGGUCAUAUUAAACUGCUGUCAUCCACACACUGAUAGACAGAGGCUGUGUACGUGUGAGAAAGAGAGUGUACGUGUGAGAAAGAGAAAUAGUGUGUUUGUGAGAUAUAGGCCUAGGUCCGGCAGAAUGGGCGUUUUGUGUGUGUGUGUGCAUGUGUUUAUGAGAGACAGAAGCUGUACGUUUGAGAGACAGAGGGAAUGAUGGAGAGAAGGGGGGACGAGAGAGAGAAGGAAUGAGAGACAGCGUGCCGGUGUGUUUAAACAUGCCACAGACAUCUGAUCCAAGCGAUGUAUUCGAUACCAGAAACAUUUAAAAACAGACACAGUAACACAUGAUCCAUCCAUGCCGGCCUGGUAAUCGAUAUGGGGAUGAACUAUCUGACAACAUUAUGUACUGUAUGCGCUAUCUCUCUCAGUGGGUUUGGUGGUGGUGGGGGUCCGAAUGACUUGCCUCUCAAUCAUAUUUCCUGUCAUAACUGGUUGCUGUUUGCGUCACCAAAGUGCACCUGUGGGCAAUGUCCCCCGUACCCCACGGUGGCCGAUGCUAGAUUUGGAGACAUGUCGUGGGGAUGAAAAACACACAACCCCUGCCAUUGGAAUCCACCUCACCUCUGAACUCUGAGUCAGAUUAUAUAUAUUUUUUCUUCAUCAUGCAAAUUCCCAUCACCCAACCUGCCUGACUCCCUUGCUGUGUCCCAUCUCUCUCUCUCUCUCUCUCUCUUACUCCACUCCUCCCUUUCUUUCUCUCUUAUCUCCCCCCUAUCCCUCGCCACCGCCCCAGGGCCCCUACCCCUCGCCACCACACCUGUUCGCAGAUUUCUUUGGAGUCACUCAUGUUUCAUGAUCAAUGAGGUGAAGAUACAUUUGGCUGUCGUAAAUUUACCCCUUAGCCCCGCGCCUCACCCCUCAGCCUCAUGACAAUCAUUUUUUAUUGGACAGAGAUGCACAUUAUUCAAACACCUGUCUGAAUGGAUAAACAAGUGCUUACAAUGUUGACAGGAUAGGGUAAGGAAUGGACGGGACGGCUAGCAAACGUAGGCAGGGAGAUACACGGAUCAUCUGCAGGCAGCAUUAGCUCAUGGAGAUGUACGUAUGCCAUCUUGUAUGUGUAAAAACAAAUACCAACCAUAUCACAAGAUGGCAGGAUGUAUGCUGUUGCUAGGCGUGUUGCAUGAGCAUGUGAAGACAAGCCAGUGACUACUGUCCGUCCAUGACAGUGGAGGGUGUGUUCAGUUACUUUCCCAUUCUAAGGGAAAAGAAGAAGAUGAUGAUGGUGAUGCAUGUGACAUGUUACUGUGUGGGACAAUAUGGUUAUUGUUGGGGGGGGGGGGGGGGGG
rnacentral:lncRNA from 13 species